AAAUAACAACAGAUUCUGCAUGG
rnacentral:snRNA from 1 species